CUAAGGCUCCAGAGGAAGCCACGGCUAACUCUGUGCCAGCAGCCGCGGUAAUACAGAGGCGGCAAGCGUUGUUCGGAAUUAUUGGGCGUAAAGAGCACGUAGGCGGCCUUGCAAGUCAGUUGUGAAAGCCUUCCGCUUAACGGAAGAAUGCCAGCUGAUACUACAGGGCUUGAGUACGGGAGGGGAGAGUGGAACUUCUGGUGGAGCGGUGAAAUGCGUAGAUAUCAGAAGGAACGCCGGCGGCGAAAGCGACUCUCUGGCCCGAAACUGACGCUGAGUGUGCGAAAGCUAGGGGAGCAAGCGGGAUUAGAUACCCCGGUAGUCCUAGCCGUAAA
rnacentral:rRNA from 1 species